UCUAUUCCUGGGUAUGGAUUAUGCAAGUGGCGGGGACCUCCAUCAGUUCCUGCAGAGGAAAGGCUGCUUGGACAUCACCAGCGCAACUUUCUACGCAGCAGAGAUCACGUGUGGUGUGCAGUACCUGCACUCUAAGGGCAUCAUCCAUCGGUAUCCAUGGUGACGGGAUGCACAUAGGGGAAGUGACGUAUCAUGACGUCAUUGUAGCUGCGCCGGACGGAGCGGACGCCGCCCCACACGCUACACGCGGCACGAGCACCUGGGUGAUUAGUCGUCUUUAUAGGUAAGAUGUUGUUUUGUGUAUGU